rnacentral:rRNA from 1 species
UACAGAGGGUGCGAGCGUUAAUCGGAAUUACUGGGCGUAAAGCGUGCGUAGACGGUUAUUUAAGUCGGAUGUGAAAGCCCCGGGCUCAACCUGGGAAUUGCAUUCGAGACUGAAUAGCUAGGGUACGGUAGAGGGAAGUGGAAUUUCCGGUGUAGCGGUGAAAUUCGUAGAUAUCGGGAGGAACACCGGUGGCGAAGGCGGCCUUCUGGACAAUGACUGACGCUGAGACGCGAAAGCGUGGGGAGCAAACAGG